UAUAUGAGACCUAGUGGUCAGUUCCCAAACCUUGGAUCCUCUUCACUCCUUUUGAAACAAGAAGCAACUGGAAAUCCUGCCCAAGGCCUGAGUAAUCCAACGUGUCUACAGAACUCUCUUCUAGCAUCAUAUCUCAGAUGAAUCAAUCUUCUUAUCAAUUUCCCCGCCCAGCUUUCACAUCAGACAUGGAAAGAUGGAAUACAAUGGUGUUUUCUGCUGGCUGUUCAGUCCCAGAUAAUGAUCCAUGGGGAAACUGUCCUCCUUUGGCCACAUUCCAGUUUAUCAGCAAUUUUUUAAACUAGCGAUGCCCAUAGCUGGAUUCAGGCCAGUGAUGUGGAUUAUAACUCACAGGUGAGAUCUGACCAGAACAGACUGGUUCUAUUACUUCCCUUGAUCUGGACACUGUAACUCUGCAGAUGCAACUUAGAAUUGCACUAACUAUUUACAAUUUAUCUAUUUAUUUGGCUGUCAUCAAGACUCUUCCUCUCUUUGCUGUAACUUAAUCAAUGCACUGAUGCAUCUUGGCAAUGUGUAAGUUUUUAAAAAGAAAAUUCCAUGUAAGCUGCUGCAGCAGCCUGAAGAUAAAAUGAAAAUUAUUAUAAUAAAAAAGAACCAAGCAGGGAGAAAUGAUGGAUUGCUGGUAGAUAAGUCCUCCUCUGGAUACAAGAUUAAGUCAUUAGGAGACACUAAAUCUAGAAAGGGAUUUUGAUGGAAAAGACAUUUUUCAGCACUUCUAAUAUAAAGGCAAAGUACAGUUGGAAGUUGUAUAAGAUGCAUUAUGAGAUACAGGGAAUU